CGCAGCCUUGUCAAAUUCAGGACUGCCUGCUCCAUGGUGACUCCUGGCCAGUGGGCUGCUACAAGAACCUGUAGUUCAUGGGCCUCACGUUCUCCCUUGCAGACACCU